AAUGUAGGAAGCAAAGGAGAGUGCUGGUUUGCUUCAGAGGACCAAGGAUGCCUUUUCCUUCUCAACCAAGCCAUCAUUUGAUUUUACUGGGACUUUUCUUAUUGCUGCUGAAAUCAGGUACUUCUCAAAGUGAUUCAGUGUCCCAGAAACAAAACCAUAUGGAAAUCAUAGAAGGAGAAAAUGCCACUUUGCCUUGUAACUUCACAACUAUCACCACUACUCCAUACAUUUUUUGGUACCGUCAGUAUGAAAAUCAAAUACCAGAACGGAUCCUGAGCGCUGACAAAUUCAGUUCAGAGGAUAAGCACUUCCAGGAGGGAAAGUUUUCUACCAUCUUACUUUUGGGGAAUCAGAAUUCAGUACCUCUGAACAUUAGAGAAGUCUCUCUGAUAGAUGAAGCUGUUUAUUUUUGUGCUCUGAACCCCACAGUAAAUGAUGUCUAUAUAUAG